UCUUUCUUUCUUUCUUUCUUUCCUUCUUUCUUUCUUUCUGAUGUUCAUCCUUCUCCUUCUUCACAUUUUCAUCUCCUCAACAACGUCCAGCAGAGGUUACUUCUAUUGGAUACAUCUGCGUUUGAAAGCCUAAAUCAUGUACCGUCGAGUAGUUGAAGAACAGAAUAUUCAUAAGAAGAAGAAGCUCUCCUAGGGUUUCUUAUCGUACACAACGAACCCUUUUGUACAAGCUCCUGUUAAUCGGUGACACUGAAGUAGCUCUGCCGGAUCGUUGUUGGGGAGAUGGAAAUGUGAAAGAGAAGGAGAAGGACGCAAGUUCUACUUCAAUAUUCAUGUGGCAACUUUAUAUUUGCAGGCUUGUGAAUUAAGGUCUGUUGAUAGGUGAUAACAGCCCAAAAGUUUAGGCUUCAUCGCUUUUUGUGCAUGAUUGAGAUCAGUCAGACCGUGUACUAUAAGUCAUUGAAUGUUUUAAUCUUACAAUCAGUUUUACUUUGUUUUUUAAGAAGGUGCUGUUGUCAUGGACAUCGAGGUGAUUUCCCAUGCUAUGUGACUUUUUUGAGUAAUAAUAUAGUUAAAUCUCUUCUUUUGCCAUAUAAUUGUCGCAUCAUCUUCUUCCUUCUUCAUUGCACAACCCUAAGAUCACCCGUCAUCUCAAUUUGAGCAAUUAAAAGGAGUUUUCUUAAUCAGCACCGUACACUUUUUGCUGUUAGUUCCACGUGUUUUUUCAGAUUAACUGUUGCUAUAUAUACAUAUAUUGGUUUUGUUUUGAUGAAAAGGGAAAACGUUCGAGAUGUUUGACCCAAGAACCGAAGAAAAGAUAGCGGAUAUUGCUGAAGGAGAUAAAGAUGAUGUUGAUCUGGCUGUUGAAGCUGCACAUUGAUCCACAAUAAGCACUGCCCAUCUAAGUUUCCUCCAAUGACAGUGGUUAUAACAAGUUAAUAAGGCAAAGCACUGAUUUGCCUAACAACUGUUGGAUAUAAAGACUGUUGUACACAAAGACUGAUGAAGAUCAUCCACUGUGAAGACCAAAGCACUCAUGAAGACCAAAGCCCUGUUGAAGAAAAGCACUGAUGAACCAAAGGCUUGAUCAACCAAAGGUGAACCACUGCCCAACAACAACAGUGGUUCACCAUCAACAACAGUUAUUCUACCUUUGUUUAUAUUACAGUGUUUAUGUUUAUAUAUAACAGUAUUUAUCACAUCAGUGUUUUAUAGUCUGUUAGGUUGUUAGAUGUCAUCACCUCAGUGU